rnacentral:rRNA from 1 species
UACGAAGGGGGGCUAGCGUUGCUCGGAAUCACUGGGCGUAAAGCGCACGUAGGCGGAUCUUUAAGUCAGGGGUGAAAUCCUGGAGCUCAACUCCAGAACUGCCUUUGAUACUGGGGAUCUCGAGUCCGGAAGAGGUGAGUGGAACUCCGAGUGUAGAGGUGAAAUUCGUAGAUAUUCGGAGGAACACCAGUGGCGAAGGCGGCUCACUGGUCCGGUACUGACGCUGAGGUGCGAAAGCGUGGGGAGCAAACAGG